UAUCUCUGUAGAGUCUGCAUAUCAAUAAGCGGAGGAAAAGAAACUAACUAGGAUUCCCUCAGUAACGGCGAGUGAAGCGGGAAGAGCUCAAAUUUGAGAUCUUCAAGGUUCUACCUUGACGAAUUGUAGUUUAAAGAAGUGUUUUCUGUUGGAGUUUUGGUAAAAGUUCUUUGGAAUAGGACAUCAUAGAGGGUGAGAAUCCCGUAUUUGACCAUUAUUUCCAGCUUUGUGAUACACUUUCAAAGAGUCGGAUUGUUUGGGAAUGCAGUCCAAAAUGGGUGGUAAAUUUCAUCUAAAGCUAAAUAUUGGCGAGAGACCGAUAGCGAACAAGUACCGUGAGGGAAAGAUGAAAAGAACUUUGAAAAGAGAGUUAAACAGUACGUGAAAUUGUCAAAAGGGAAGCGUUUGACACCAGUGUUGUUUUCUCGAAAAUCAAUUAGAAAAGGCAGGAUUUUGUGUUGUAUUGACUUUAUCAGCUUUCUGCACUCUUUUCUUGUCUUUUUUAAUGCACUUUUCGUUUAACAAGUCAACAUCAAUUUCUUUUGUUGUAAAAGGGUCAUUGGAAGGUGGCUUUCUUUUCGGAGAAAGUGUUUAUAGCCUUUGGCCUCUGCAAUCGGAGAGAUUGAGGUCUGCAGCGUAGAUCCUUCGGGGUUAGAUACAUUUGUGCUAAGUUAUAGCCUUUCAUAGACAACUUGUUGACUAUGAUCAGUCAUGUAGCUUACUCGCUUAUGCUAUUUUACCUACGCUUAGGAUGUUGACGAUCAGCUGAGCGCG
rnacentral:rRNA from 1 species